UUCGACGCUACGCGAAGAACCUUACCAAGGCUUGACAUAUACAGGUAUAUGGCAGAGAUGUCAUAGCCGCAAGGUCUGUAUACAGGUGGUGCAUGGUUGUCGUCAGCUCGUCUCGUGAGAUGUUGGGUUAAGUCCCGCAACGAGCGCAACCCUCGUUCUGUGUUGCCAGCAUUUAGUUGGGGACUCACAGGAGACCUGCCGGGGUUAACUCGGAGGAAGCUGGGGAUGACGUCAAAUCAUCAUGCCCCUUAUGUCUUGGGUGCACGCAUGCUACAAUGGCUGGUACAAACGCCUUGCGAUACCGCAAGCUGGAGCGAAUCCGAUAAAGCCAGUCUCAGUUCGGAUUGGGGUCUGCAACUCGACCCCAUGAAGUCGGAGUUGCUAGUAAUCGUAGAUCAGCAACGCUACGGUGAAUACGUUCCCGGGGCUUGUACACACCGCCCGUCACAUCACGAAAGUCGUAACACCCAAAGUCAGUGC
rnacentral:rRNA from 1 species